rnacentral:rRNA from 1 species
GACAGAGGGUGCAAACGUUGUUCGGAAUUACUGGGCGUAAAGCGCGCGUAGGCUGCUCUGCAAGUCGGAUGUGAAAGCCCUGGGCUCAACCUAGGAAGUGCACUCGAAACUGCAGAGCUUGAGUCUCGGAGAGGAUCGCGGAAUUCUCGGUGUAGAGGUGAAAUUCGUAGAUAUCUGGAGGAACACCGGUGGCGAAGGCGGCAUCCUGGACCAACACUGACGCUGAGUGAGCGAAAGCCAGGGGAGCAAACAGG